ACGAAUUCGCCCUUUUCCGGUUGAUCCUGCCGGACCCCACUGCUAUCGGGAUAGGACUAAGACAUGCUAGUCGAGCGCCUCCCAGCCACGACGGAGGCGCGGCGCACAGCUCAGUAACACGUGGCUAACCUGCCCUCGGGACGGGAAUACCCCCGGGAAACUGGGGCUAAUCCUCGAUAGGUGAAGAACUCUGGAAUGAGUCUCCGCCCAAAAGACGCUUAAAUCAUGCUUUUAGGCGCCGCCCAAGGAUGGGGCCGCGACCGAUCAGGUAGUUGGUGAGGCAACGGCUCACCAAGCCUUUAACCGGUGCGGGCCGUGGGAGCGGGAGCCCGGAGAUGGGCACUGAGACAAGGGCCCAGGCCCUACGGGGGCGCAGCAGUCGCGAAAACUUUGCAAUACACGAAAGUGUGACAGGGCUAUACCGAGUGCCAUCCGCUGAGGAAGGCUUUUACCCAGUCUAGAAAGCUGGGAGAAUAAGGAGAGGGCAAGUCUGGUGUCAGCCGCCCCCGGUAAUACCAGCUCUCCGAGUGGUGUGGAUGUUUAUUGGGCCUAAAGCAUCCGUAGCUGGCCAAGUUAGUCCCCUGUUAAGUCCACCGAAUUAAUCGUUGGAGUGCGGGGGAUACUGCUCGGCUAGGGGACGAGAGAGGCAGACGGUAUCCCCGGGGUAGGGGUGAAAUCCUAUAAUCCCGGGAAGACCACCAGUGGCGAAGGCUGUCUGCUAGAACGCGCCCGACGGUGAGGGAUGAAAGCUGGGGGAGCGAACCGGAUUAGAUACCCGGGUAGUCCCAGCUGUAAACGAUGCAGGCUAGGUGUUUGGGCGGCCACGGGCCGCUCUAGUGCCGCAGGGAAGCUGUUAAGCCUGCCGCCUGGGGAGUACGGUCGCAAGGCUGAAACUUAAAGGAAUUGGCGUGAAGGGCGAAUUCGC
rnacentral:rRNA from 1 species